UACGUAGGGCGCAAGCGUUGUCCGGAAUUAUUGGGCGUAAAGAGCUCGUAGGCGGCUUGUCACGUCGGGUGUGAAAGCCCGGGGCUUAACCCCGGGUCUGCAUUCGAUACGGGCUAGCUAGAGUGUGGUAGGGGAGAUCGGAAUUCCUGGUGUAGCGGUGAAAUGCGUAGAUAUCGGGAAGAACACCCGUGGCGAAGGCGGCUCUCUGGGACGGUACUGACGCUGAGACGCGAAAGCGUGGGGAGCGAACAGG
rnacentral:rRNA from 1 species